rnacentral:pre_miRNA from 1 species
UUCAUACAACCUCCAUCCAAAAUUAGUUGUCUCAAGUUGUAUCUAAACACGUUUUAGUGUUAGACACAUCCGUAUCUAGAUAAAUCUAAGACAACUAAUUUAGGACGGAGGGAGUAUCUU